rnacentral:lncRNA from 1 species
CGCCCCGGAGGCUCCCUGUAAAGGGCUACCCAAAGCCCGAGGCAACACAGGCUGGCCUUGCUCUCACACAGGAACCCUGCAAAGGCCACCAAACCUCGCCAAGGCACAAGGCCCCACCCAGGGCCAGGAUGCUGGAGAGGAAGGGCACAGACUCUGAUGAAUGGGACGCGGGACUCGGAGACCCCCGUUUCUUUCUCUGCCUAAACAAGGGAGGCCCCUAGUUUACACUGUAGCCCGGCGGACCUGCUGACAGACCACCAGCUCAGGAGACACAGAAUGGCUCCCUGUCCCUUGCGCAGAGCCCUCCCGGGAACGCCAAAAGGAAGCAGGGCACGCCUGCAGGAAGCUCCUACUGGCUCAAGUCUGGACUUUAAGUGCUUCCAUAAGGAUAACAACUGCCAGGAAUGGAACUUCAAGAGAUUAUUUUGGCAAGUCUUGAGUUCCCGAUGCUCUUUCAUUGCAAAGUAACUCCUGGAUCACGGCUGGUUUUGUUUGUGGUCGGUUUCCUGGUGGUUUUGGAGGCUGAGGAUGAUCUCCACCCCUGGGGAAUUCAGGGGAAGCGUGGACCCUGAACCUCGGUACUCUGUCCUGCUACCCUUGGACGUGCCCCUUCACCAAAGGGCAGCCAUGGCACGAGGACCCUUAGGACACCAGGGACACAGCUAAGAACUGGAAGCGAAAGGAAACGAGGGAAGCAGUAUGUCCUCACCUCCACCACCACUGCCAAGGCACUGCCAAAGCUGUCCUGGACCUAGGGCACGGAGGGGUGCUUCGCUGGGACUUGGCGGCCUUCCAGGACUGACCAGGAGACACAAGGUGCCUAGAGACCAGGGGACACACCAGCAGGCAGAUCCCUGCCACGAGGGUCCCUCCUGAGUGCCACCAAGGGCUCUGACCCAAGAGUAGACCUGCCUGGGGGUGGGGGGCAGGGUGUGCAGAGAGAAGGCAAGAGGGGAGGAGGCGGGGCCACGCGCCCGACGACACCCGAGCAGAGCAGGUCCUGUCCUGGGCACAUUCAUGGGACGGGACAGGACAGGACAGGACAGGACAGGACAGGACAGGACAGGGA